CUGAGAGGCGCACGACACACUGAACUGGACACGGUCAGACUCCUACGGGAGGCAGCAGUGGGGAAUUUUGCGCAAUGGGGGAAACCCUGACGCAGCAACGCCGCGUGGAGGAUGAAGUCCUUCGGGACGUAAACUCCUUUCGAUCGGGACGAUAAUGACGGUACCGGAAGAAGAAGCCCCGGCUAACUUCGUGCCAGCAGCCGCGGUAAUACGAGGGGGGCGAGCGUUGUUCGGAAUUAUUGGGCGUAAAGGGUGCGUAGGCGGUUUUGUAAGUCUUAUGUGAAAUCUAUGGGCUCACUCAUAGACUGCAUGAGAAACUGCAGGGCUUGAGUGUGGGAGAGGUGAGUGGAAUUCCGGUGUAGCGGUGAAAUGCGUAGA
rnacentral:rRNA from 1 species